ensembl:lncRNA
GGGACAUGGGGCAAUAUGUGAUUUGGAAUUAUAGAUCCAGAAUCUGGAAAAUCUACUGCUUGGUAAGGCUACUUGUUAAUUAAUUUUGUUGUCCUGUGGUUUAGAGGUCAGCUAUGGAUACUCGGCUGCGAGAAUUUUUGAUGGAGCGCAAACUUGAAGAAGAUGUGAUCCAGAAACUUGAAGAUGAGAAUCUGUCUUUACAUGUGGUUAAAUCAUCAGUCAGUGGAACAAGACAGUCUUCUGCACCCCAAAGGUGAGGGACCAUGUACAUGACAUCAGGUAUUCCACUGGGCACGUUGGUGUUCUU